GAUUUGUUGUGAUGCGACUUAGAUCUUAAUUACACUCGGAUGCUCGCUUAGAAAUAGAUAAUUUUUACAAUUCGAUUCACCCUUAAUCUGUCAUUUCGUUUUUGAAAUCAUUGAUCCAUCGUGAUUGGGCUUUAUGCUUACCAUCCGGGUUGAUUACUAGAUAUGGGGGUUUACCUAAGCACACCUAAAACUGAUAAAACACCCGACGAUGGUGAGAAUGAGAAACUGAGAUAUGGAGUCUCAUCCAUGCAAGGAUGGCGCACAUCAAUGGAAGAUGUUGUAAGUCCCUAGUAUAGGCUACUUGUUAGUUAUAUAAGCUAUUGUUCCUGUUUGGAUUUUCUAUAUUCUAAAAAGGUAUGAUAGUUUAAUGCUCUUGUAAUCUUGUUGAAUUUUCUCUAUAUCUCUCUAUGAUACAACUUUCAGUCAGCCCAAACAUUGAUCACUAUAGUAAUUAACCAAGAUUUUAUGUGUCAAUAUGAGGUGUUUGGUAGCAUGCUGCUUUAGUUGACUUGGACAACUCCACAUCUUUCUUUGGCGUUUAUGAUGGCCAUGGAGGUCAGGCAGUCUCUAAGUUCUGUGCCAAGUAUCUUCACCAGCAAGUCCUGAAGCAGGAAGCUUAUGCUGCUGGUGAUAUUGGAACUACUGCCCA